UACGGGGGGGGCAAGCGUUGUUCGGAAUUACUGGGCGUAAAGGGCUCGUAGGUGGCCAACUAAGUCAGACGUGAAAUCCCUCAGCUUAACUGGGGAACUGCGUCUGAUACUGGAUGGCUUGAGUUCGGGAGAGGGAUGCGGAAUUCCAGGUGUAGCGGUGAAAUGCGUAGAUAUCUGGAGGAACACCGGUGGCGAAGGCGGCAUCCUGGACCGACACUGACACUGAGGAGCGAAAGCGUGGGGAGCGAACCGG
rnacentral:rRNA from 1 species